rnacentral:rRNA from 1 species
GACGAACGCUGGCGGCGUGCUUAACACAUGCAAGUCGAACGGAAAGGCCCUGCUUUUGUUGGGUGCUCGAGUGGCGAACGGGUGAGUAACACGUGAGUAACCUGCCCUUGACUUUGGGAUAACUUCAGGAAACUGGGGCUAAUACCGGAUAUGAGCUCCUGCUGCAUGGGGGGGGUUGGAAAGUUUCGGCGGUGGGGGAUGGACUCGCUGGUUAUGAGCUUGUUGGUGGGGUAGUGGCUUACCAAGGCUUUGACGGGUAGCCGGCAUGAGAGGGUGACCGGCCACAUGGGGACUGAGAUACGGACCAGAAUCCUACGGGAGGCAGCAGUGGGGAAUAUUGCACAAUGGGGGGAAGCCUGAGGCAGCAACGCCGCGUGCGGGAUGACGGCCUUCGGGUUGUAAACAGCUUUCGCCUGUGACGAACAGUGAGUGACGGUAAUGGGUAAAGAAGCACCGGCUAACUACGUG